rnacentral:rRNA from 1 species
AUCGUAAAGCUCUGUUGCCAGGGAAGAACGCUAUGGAGAGUAACUGUUCCAUAGGUGACGGUACCUGAGAAGAAAGCCCCGGCUAACUACGUGCCAGCAGCCGCGGUAAUACGUAGGGGGCAAGCGUUGUCCGGAAUUAUUGGGCGUAAAGCGCGCGCAGGCGGUCAUGUAAGUCUGGUGUUUAAACCCGGGGCUCAACUCCGGGUCGCAUCGGAAACUGUGUGACUUGAGUGCAGAAGAGGAAAGUGGAAUUCCACGUGUAGCGGUGAAAUGCGU